UCCACUGAAACUUUUUCAGAAAAAAUAAGGGACGAACAAGAGCAAGAACAUUACCAUUACCCCCCUCCCUCCAUCCCUCCCCUUCUGACCCACUAUGGCCACGUACAGUACCCUUCUCUCACUGAUUAACAUUCUCUCUACAUUGCACAUGGCAAUGCUGUUUGGCCAGAUCCAAAGGCAACAACAUAUGCUUCAAAUUCCCUUAAUUCUUUUGAGUUUCAACUGCCAGUUUCAUGAAGGUCUGUUUUGAGAAAGAAAUGUUCGGUCUAUCGACAUUUACGGUGAUAAUAAUUAAGUAGAAAGAGGAUAAUUUUACCGACUGGUAAACAUCGACCGGGCGAUGCCAAUUAUAGUAUAGAUUUCAUACCUGUUACAAAAUUACAAAGUUAGUGAGGACAACGUCAUGUUUAACAUUAAUUUUCCUUUGAAUAUUGAGUAUUUAGUAUUCUGGCUAGCUAAAGGAUUGCAUUAAAGCAUCUGACAAAUCAGACAUGACGAAUGAUUGGAGCCAGAUAUUGUUUCUGUAACACAUGGUGAAUAAUUAUAGCCAUAUUUUGUUUUCAGUAUCAAUAAGGAUUUGAAGGAAUUAAUAAGAUGAAAAAGUAAGCAACUAUGACCAGAAUUUUUCACUUUAUUAAAAGUCUUAAUAUUCAUACCUAUAUAUAUAUAUAUAUAUAUAUAUAUAUAUAUAUAUAUAUAUAUCACUCUUUUCUUCUCCAGCCACUUUUAAGAACAGUGCUAGUCUGUACUUCACGAUAAACAGUACACGGGACUCUCGACGCAGCUAGCUAUGCUGGUGCGGGGGGUCGACCGUGCUAGGAAUAUACCACAUUUCCACAUCAUCACGGGACGGACACACUAUAAGAUACCGUGGAACAGACAGGUUAUUGUGGUAUAUGUUCCGUGUGGGUGAAUUGAUGUUCAGUUUUUCGAGAUAUGUUUGAACUGUUUAGAGUAUUUCUUUCAUUAUUGAGGAGUAUUCGCAUUGAACAUGAAGGAAAUAUGAAGUUCUGUCCCAAAGGUUUUGUUAAAUUUGCGAUGUUUGGACUAUUUUUUCUGUGUUCCUGACGUUGGACUGGAAAAAAGAAUUGGUUCUCAACAAUUAUAUAUGUUUGCAUUACGUUUUAAAAGACAAUCAUAGGGAAUUUUCGAUGCCAAUGUGAGGUACCAAACGCUGUCUCAGAGUUAUCUUUCAAUGAUGAAUAAUGGCUAGCAACACUUUUCUUAAUCCGAGUACAGUGUGAGCAAGAAAAAGUUUCUGAGUGUGAAAUAUGAACAGGCUUUACGAGAUCUCAAGAUGAACUGUCCCCUCGCCCCUGCCCUUUACAUGACACUCAGCCUCCUAACAAUAAUUGAGUGUGUGCUGACGAUAUUUAUAUACAUUAUGGAGAGACGUCUGAGGAAAAGGACAACAAGCCCUUUCGUAUACAGUCUAGCAGUUAGCAUCGCUUUGCUAUCAGCCAUUUCUUUCAUUUUUAACGUCAAGCUUCUUUUUGAUUCGUGUCGAAACAAACGAACCAUAGAAUGGUGCGUUGUUUUAUCUAUAUUUCUGAGGUACCUGCACGUCGUCUCUUGCUUCUGCGUGACCUGCCUGGCGCUGUACCGAUAUCUGUACCUGUGCUGGCCCCUCCACUACCCGAUGCUCGUCACCAAGCGCCGUUGUUGCUACGUCACUUUAGCCUGCUGGACGCUGCCCAUCGCCCUGGUCGCCGUUCCGUCUGCGAUCGACGGUCAGGCUCCGUGCGCUGACAUGCGGGUGACAGUCUCCUUCUAUGCCACCUACAUUGCUCUGUACAUCUCAGGAGCCCUCGCCACCUUUGUUGCAUACUUCCUGGUGGCGCUGGAGUUCAGGAGGAAGCGCCACGCGUUGGCACUCAGCAGCGAUGUGGCGAGGAGCGACCGCCUCGUGAAAGGGAGAACCGAGAGGUCCGCGCUCUCGGUUCUCGCCCUCUACGCUGUCCUGUCUCUGCCUCACAUAAUAAUGUUGUUGGUGACGCGGAUGAGCAACGGCCGAGCAUCCGCAGUGAACCUGGACAGCGCCUCCUUACUAAACAGGCUUCACUUACUGCUGUUCCUCCCCUUCUAUGCCUGGGCGAACAAACUCUUCCGCACCGCACUCAUCACUCGAGCCAGAAAGAUGUUCUGUAGAAAGUAUAAUGCCGAUAGCCUCCGUCUUCGAAAGGAAGGUAUGGGCAGGAUGAUUGUGGUCCGCUGUGAAUUGUAUGGGCUGUCGUUAUCAUGUAUACGUGUUGUAUAAUUCGACCCAAGUUACUUUAUGUACAGACUCAUGAUCUGCAGCAGAGGAAUGCAGUGCGUGUCAUGACUGAGUUGUUGCAUGUAAUGAAUAGUGACGUGUUGCUCGACGAGACUGGUGUGCUGCAUGUAAUGGAAUAUUCUACAUGGUGACGAAUAUGGUGAUGGACUUGUUGCCUGGCGGAUCCCUUUGCUGUCAGGCCAUGCCUCGCAAUAAAUUCUGAAAAUAAAUCUACUUGCUGAAUAACCAUACAUUUAUAUAUGCAUGCAUAUAUGUGCGCGUAACCACAUUAACACAUAAGUACACAUUCGCAUACAUACUACAUACGUACAUGUGCAAACCCACACAAACACACGCCCGCACACUCAUACACGCACCUGUAUUCAGACAAAUCAAAACAGCGUAAAACCUUACUUGAAGCUCACACUUUCAGAACUGAAACUAAAGGCUUACUUGUUGCACAUGAUUCCACCGGCUUGUUAUUAGAGAUUAUUAUACAAAUCAACUGAAAAAAAUUAAACAUUACAGAUACCACCUCUACACACACCUAGGGGAGACUAAUCUAAUCACGAUACAUAUAACAAAUGAUUGGUUUUGUAAUGUUCCCGACUAGACCUGGCCUUUUCAUUAUUUAUAUUAAAGAUAUGUCUGCAACUGACUUGGGGAUUACACACCAAAUAAGCAAGGCUAUUUUUUCUCCUAAAUUAUCGAUGGCACUUUUUAACAAAUGUUAUUUAUAUGAAUACAUAUAAGACACAAUCAUACCACAUUCCUUUAGUUAUGUAACUGUGACAGAGCAAAGCACACACAGAUGACAGAGACGUAGUCAUAAAAAAAGUCUAAUUCAAAGUGCUCUAAAAUAUAUCACUUGCCCAAGAGUGUAAGAUACCUCCCUCACCUUUGAUCAUAAAGUAACACCCAUUGUGAUCAUACAAAGGACUACAAGCAUAGCGUAUUAUUAGUCUAACAAACCCAAUCCUCAACGAGAAUGAAAUUUAUGUAAGAAGUUUAACAAAUUUCAUAAAAAAAAAAAAGGUUCCAAUAUUGAAGGCAUCACAGGCUUGCGUAUUAUGAAGUCUUCCUGAAUCGUUUUCUUAAAAAAAAAAAAAAGAAUAAAUGAAUAAAUAAAUAAAAUUUUAAAUCGCACGUUUACUAACCUUUGAUACCUGAAUUAGGAAUAGAUUAUUGAAUAGAAUAAACGAAUAAAAACAUUAAAUGCAGUCAUAGAUAUUGUGUGAAAGCAGACGAAAGAGAAGUAGAGACGGGAAAGAACUGACGAGGAGGAAGAGGAUGGUGUAAAGAAGAAAGAAGAGAAGGAGAAAUCGAAAGAAAAGUGAGAAAAGAGAGAAAAAGAAAGGACGUAGAUAUAUAAAUGCUGACUGCCAGGGAGGAGGAGGAUGGCGUAGAAAGGAAAGAGGAAGAGAAGGAGAGGAGGGGAAAAAGAAAAAGACGUAGAUAGAAUUGUUUUGCGCCCGAGGAAAACCUUACAGCAGGAAGCGAAAUAAUAACCAUUACAAAUUUAUUGGUCCUGUAAAUUUCUAAAAACUGAAAUGUAUUUUUCCCAAACCGCACAGCAAUAGCGGAAACGCUAAAUUAAUCAAUACCAGCAGUGAUAUAUACAUGUAUAACUAUAUACAUAUAUAUAUAUAUAUAUAUAUUCUAUAAUAUAGUAUUCUAAAUUGGUUUACCUGUAAACAUCUCCAUCAUAUAAAUACACAAAUCUAUAUUUGAAUUAUUUAAUACAAUAUUCUAAAUGGACUGACAUAUAAUUACAUAUAUUAUGUAAAUACACCAAAACGAUGAAUAAAUUCGUAAAUCAUGUUAAUAUACGAUUACGAAUCGCAUUUUCUAAACUUGGAACCUGACUAAUUUCCACGGGCAUGGGAGAGCUCGGAGGAAAAACAUUAAGGCCUUUCACAAUCACGUUUGGAUUUUUUUUAAUAAUAUAUGUUGCGUAAAUGGGAGUGUCUCUUAUUUAGAAUUCUUUCCUGAAUAGAAGGAUUGAAAAACACGCAUUGUUUUUUUCUCUCUCUUUUUUUUUUUUUUUUUUUGUGUAAAUUAAGUAAUUUGUCGUUUGGUUAAUGUUUGAGGGGUUGAGGGAAAGAGUUUAAGAACCACUGCUAUAGAACAAGAGAUGCAUAUGGUUGUCAUUGGUUGUCUUGUAUGCAUAAUGUACUUGUUAUAACGUACUCUGUAAGUGAUUGGUAAUUUUGUUGGAAGGGUACACGAAUAAAUAUAUAUAUUUUUUUUUUUAUCAACAAAUCAGAUUCAUGUUCCGUCCAUGAAACCUGCUCACUGGAAUAAGUUUUUAUAGUCUUAAGGAAGAGGUAAAAAAAUUUCCUUCAUAGCCAUCUUAUGCUCCUUCAGUUGUAGGAUUUUGAUCAUUCAGGAUUACCAGGAAUUAAAAAGGUUGUUCAGUUUACUGAUGUAAAUUCUACGUGAUAUUUUGUUUUCUCAUGUCUAUAAGUCUAAAACACUGAACAAGUAUCAAUGAAAAAAAAUAAUUGCACAAACCUUGGCCAAAAAAGAUCUUAGGGCCCUGGCCGGUAAGUUCGAUUAUCACUUAUCAGGCAGUGUGACGCAGGUCUUCCCAUGUGUUCCCUUCUCUUAUUGGUUAAUAUUCUAACCGUUUUCGUCCACCACGGCUUCCCAUUGGUUGUACCGCCCUUCGAUUAUGAAGGCACGAAUUUAAAAGUACCUGUCUUCGUCCGAUACUUCACUUGCCUUAUUGAUUAUUGACUGUUGAGUAUGAAAACGUUCUAGUGCCUUACUCUGCACGAGAUGACAAGGGCGAUACUCACGGCAUUUGUCAUUAGAGUAUAGACCGAACUGCGGUCUUUUUUAUUGAGCUAAAGAUGCGCUUGAAGGUAGCACGAAUCACUACUACUGCACUGCAUAAGCGCAAGAGAAAGACCGUGCACUGUUCCAUUUCUCCUGACCGAGAACACUCUUCCACGCCGCUGCCACCACAUGAAAAACAGUGAAUUGCACAAAUUGGACGCAG